rnacentral:tRNA from 1 species
GCCUGGGUGGCUCAGUCAGUUAAGCAUCUGACUUCAGCUCAGGUCAUGAUCUCACAGUUAAUGAGUUCAAGCCCCAUGUCAGGCU